UACGGGGGGGGCAAGCGUUGUUCGGAAUUACUGGGCGUAAAGCGCGUGUAGGCGGUUGUCCAAGUCGGGUGUGAAAGCCUUGAGCUCAACUCAAGAAAUGCACUCGAUACUGGGCGACUCGAGUGCCGGAGAGGAUAGUGGAAUUCCCAGUGUAGUGGUGAAAUACGUAGAGAUUGGGAAGAACACCAGUGGCGAAGGCGGCUAUCUGGACGGUUACUGACGCUAAGACGCGAAAGCGUGGGAGCAAAUAGGAUAGAAACCCUGUAC
rnacentral:rRNA from 1 species